rnacentral:rRNA from 1 species
CGGACGGGUGAGUAACGCGUAAAGAACUUGCCCUUUAGACUGGGAUAACAGAGGGAAACUUCUGAUAAUACUGGAUAAGUUAGUAUAUCGCAUGAUAUGCAAAUGAAAGCUACGGCACUGAAGGAGAGCUUUGCGUCCUAUUAGCUAGUUGGUAAGGUAAGAGCUUACCAAGGCGAUGAUAGGUAGCCGGCCUGAGAGGGUGGACGGCCACAAGGGGACUGAGAUACGGCCCUUACUCCUACGGGAGGCAGCAGCA